rnacentral:lncRNA from 1 species
CUUGCCCCCAGACACCUCAGUGCCUUUCUGCUAAGAUAACUCUGGUUUAUUGGCAUUUUUUUUCCCUGCAGAAGAGUCAAAAACUGAACACAGCAUCUGUGUGAUUGUAUUGAAGAUUUUAGAACAAGUUCCAGAACUUAUCAAGUUUUUUCAAGUAAUUCAAAAGGCUCUCACCCUCACCAAGGGACUUUGAAGAAAACAAAAUAGAUUUUUCACUGCUGAGAGGACUGAGCUUUGGCCAACAGCGUUGUGUAUGCCAGCCCUGUUCAGCUCAUCCAUGGAGAGACUGUGACCACCGCUUGGUGAGUCCAUGCUUUGGGAGGUGUCCCCACAGAAAGCCCCAUAGAGACGUCUCAAACAGGUCGCAUGGCACCUGGCCUCUGAGUUUGGAAGGAAGGACUGGAUGAUGUCCAUGUGAGUGCCAGUGCAAGACCUCCAGUGGUCUCAGAUUAAUGGUGCCAUAUCCCCAGUGACGUCUCCUUGGGAGCUGAAAGACACUCAGGUCCAA